rnacentral:tRNA from 1 species
GGGGGUGUGGCUGAGUCAGAAGAGUGCUUGCCUAGCAAGCAGGAAGCCCUGGGUUUGACCCCUUUGCCCCCU